rnacentral:misc_RNA from 1 species
GGAAGCAAAAGUCGUAACAAGGUUUCCGUAGGUGAACCUGCGGAAGGAUCAUUAUUGUAUAACCGAGGUGCGAGGGCUGUCGCUGACCCGAAAGGUCGUGCACGCCCGAGUGCCCUCACACACAUCCAUCUCACCCCUAUGUGCACCACCGCGUGGGUCCCCCUUUGGCUUGUUCGGAGGGGGGCUUACGUUUUCACACAAACUUUGUAUGCAGUGUAGAAUGUAUUUUUUGUUUUUGCGAUCACGCAAUCAAUACAACUUUCAACAACGGAUCUCUUGGCUCUC